ACACAAAAGCGCAUGUGCUGUGAGCUCGAUGAGUAGGGCGGGACACGUGGUAUCCUGUCUGAAUAUGGGGGGACCAUCCUCCAAGGCUAAAUACUCCUGACUGACCGAUAGUGAACCAGUACCGUGAGGGAAAGGCGAAAAGAACCCCGGCGAGGGGAGUGAAAAAGAACCUGAAACCGUGUACGUACAAGCAGUGGGAGCCCCACCACCAAAGCAUUCUCUGGUGUUGAAGGCCCUGCAAAGCAGCAUCGCGGUGGCGGAGCGUCGUUUGCGACGCCCAACACACAAAACAAGCGGUGAGUGCUUUGGGGUGGGGUGACUGCGUACCUUUUGUAUAAUGGGUCAGCGACUUAUAUUCUGUAGCAAGGUUAACCGAAUAGGGGAGCCGGAGGGAAACCGAGUCUUAAUUGGGCGUUAAGUUGCAGGGUAUAGACCCGAAACCCGGUGAUCUAGCCAUGGGCAGGUUGAAGGUUGGGUAACACUAACUGGAGGACCGAACCGACUAAUGUUGAAAAAUUAGCGGAUGACCUGUGGCUGGGGGUGAAAGGCCAAUCAAACCGGGAGAUAGCUGGUUCUCCCCGAAAGCUAUUUAGGUAGCGCCUCGUGAAUUCAUCUCCGGGGGUAGAGCACUGUUUCGGCUAGGGGGCCAUCCCGGCUUACCAACCCGAUGCAAACUGCGAAUACCGGAGAAUGUUAUCACGGGAGACACACGGCGGGUGCUAACGUCCGUCGUGAAGAGGGAAACAACCCAGACCGCCAGCUAAGGUCCCAAAGUCAUGGUUAAGUGGGAAACGAUGUGGGAAGGCCCAGACAGCCAGGAUGUUGGCUUAGAAGCAGCCAUCAUUUAAAGAAAGCGUAAUAGCUCACUGGUCGAGUCGGCCUGCGCGGAAGAUGUAACGGGGCUAAACCAUGCACCGAAGCUGCGGCAGCGAACGUAUCACUUAAAGCGAUUCAGCGGGUUACGAUUGACGGAGCGAAGCGACGUCAAAGCGUAUACAAAGUCGAGUCGGUUUAAGGAUACGUUCGUUGGGUAGGGGAGCGUUCUGUAAGCCUGUGAAGGUGUGUCGUGAGGCAUGCUGGAGGUAUCAGAAGUGCGAAUGCUGACAUAAGUAACGAUAAAGCGGGUGAAAAGCCCGCUCGCCGGAAGACCAAGGGUUCCUGUCCAACGUUAAUCGGGGCAGGGUGAGUCGACCCCUAAGGCGAGGCCGAAAGGCGUAGUCGAUGGGAAACGGGUUAAUAUUCCCGUACUUGGUGUUACUGCGAAGGGGGGACGGAGAAGGCUAUGUUGGCCGGGCGACGGUUGUCCCGGUUUAAGCGUGUAGGC
rnacentral:rRNA from 1 species